rnacentral:rRNA from 1 species
AGUCGAGCGAACCGACGGGAGCUUGCUCCCUUAGGUUAGCGGCGGACGGGUGAGUAACACGUGGGUAACCUGCCUGUAAGACUGGGAUAACUCCGGGAAACCGGGGCUAAUACCGGAUGCUUGAUUGAACCGCAUGGUUCAAUCAUAAAAGGCGGCUUCGGCUGCCGUUUACAGAUGGACCCGCGGCGCAUUAGCUAGUUGGUGAGGUAACGGCUCACCAAGGCGACGAUGCGUAGCCGACCUGAGAGGGUGAUCGGCCACACUGGGACUGAGACACGGCCCAGACUCCUACGGGAGGCAGCAGUAGGGAAUCUUCCGCAAUGGACGAAAGUCUGACGGAGCAACGCCGCGUGAGUGAUGAAGGUUUUCGGAUCGUAAAGCUCUGUUGUUAGGGAAGAACAAGUACCGUUCGAAUAGGGCGGUACCUUGACGGUACCUAACCAGAAAGCCACGGCUAACUACGUGCCAGCAGCCGCGGUAAUACGUAGGUGGCAAGCGUUGUCCGGAAUUAUUGGGCGUAAAGCGCGCGCAGGCGGUUUCUUAAGUCUGAUGUGAAAGCCCCCGGCUCAACCGGGGAGGGUCAUUGGAAACUGGGGAACUUGAGUGCAGAAGAGGAGAGUGGAAUUCCACGUGUAGCGGUGAAAUGCGUAGAGAUGUGGAGGAACACCAGUGGCGAAGGCGACUCUCUGGUCUGUAACUGACGCUGAGGCGCGAAAGCGUGGGGAGCGAACAGGAUUAGAUACCCUGGUAGUCCACGCCGUAAACGAUGAGUGCUAAGUGUUAGAGGGUUUCCGCCCUUUAGUGCUGCAGCAAACGCAUUAAGCACUCCGCCUGGGGAGUACGGUCGCAAGACUGAAACUCAAAGGAAUUGACGGGGGCCCGCACAAGCGGUGGAGCAUGUGGUUUAAUUCGAAGCAACGCGAAGAACCUUACCAGGUCUUGACAUCCUCUGACACCCCUAGAGAUAGGGCUUCCCCUUCGGGGGCAGAGUGACAGGUGGUGCAUGGUUGUCGUCAGCUCGUGUCGUGAGAUGUUGGGUUAAGUCCCGCAACGAGCGCAACCCUUGAUCUUAGUUGC